UACGUAGGGUGCGAGCGUUAAUCGGAAUUACUGGGCGUAAAGCGUGCGCAGGCGGUUUUGUAAGCCAGAUGUGAAAUCCCCGAGCUCAACUUGGGAAUGGCAUUGGAAACUGGCGGGCUGGAGUGUGGCAGAGGGGGGUGGAAUUCCACGUGUAGCAGUGAAAUGCGUAGAGAUGUGGAGGAACACCGAUGGCGAAGGCAGCCCCCUGGGCCAACACUGACGCUCAGGCACGAAAGCGUGGGGAGCAAACAGG
rnacentral:rRNA from 1 species